rnacentral:rRNA from 1 species
ACUCCUACGGGAGGCAGCAGUAGGGAAUAUUGCACAAUGGAGGAAACUCUGAUGCAGCGACGCCGCGUGAGCGAUGAAGGCCUUCGGGUUGUAAAGCUCUGUGAUAGGGGAAGAUAAUGACGGUACCCUAUCAGAAAGGACCGGCUAACUUCGUGCCAGCAGCCGCGGUAAUACGAGGGGUCCAAGCGUUGUUCGGAAUUACUGGGCGUAAAGCGGGUGCAGGUGGCUAUGCAAGUCGGAUGUGAAAGCCCAGGGCUCAACCCUGGAUGUGCAUCCGAUACUGCGUGGCUUGAGUACUGGAGAGGGAAGUGGAAUUCCUGGUGUAGCGGUGAAAUGCGUAGAUAUCAGGAGGAACAUCGGUGGCGAAGGCGGCUUCCUGGCCAUGUACUGACACUCAGACCCGAAAGCGUGGGUAGCAAACAGGAUUAGAUACCCUGGUAGCGAGUA